GGAGUGGGCCAGACGGUCGCGCGUGCCCUUGAGGUACGUGAGGAAAGUCCGGACUCCGCAGGGCAGGGUGCCAGCUAACGGCUGGGCGCGGCGACGCGACGGAAAGUGCCACAGAAAAGAAAACCCCCGGGGGAAACCCCGAGGAGAGCUGAAACGGUGUGGUAAGAGCGCACCAGCGUCACGGCAACGUGGCGGCUUGGCAAACCCCACCCGGAGCAAGAGCAAAUAGGAGCGGCUAAGGUCGGCCCGACCGUCGCUCGGGUUAGCUCGCAACGAGGUCGUCGGUGACGAUGAUCCCAGAUAAAUGACCGUCCACGACAGAAUCCGGCUUAC
rnacentral:RNase_P_RNA from 1 species